GACGUAGGGGGCAAGCGUUGUCCGGAUUUAUUGGGCGUAAAGAGCUCGUAGGUGGUUCGGUAAGUCGGGUGUUAAACCCCCAGGCUCAACCUGGGGACGCCACUCGAUACUGCUGUGACUAGAGUCCGGUAGGGGAGCGUGGAAUUCCUGGUGUAGCGGUGAAAUGCGCAGAGUAUCAGGAGGAACACCAGCGGCGAAGGCGGCGCUCUGGGCCGGUACUGACACUGAGGAGCGAAGCGUGGGGAGCAAACAGG
rnacentral:rRNA from 1 species